rnacentral:rRNA from 1 species
AGCGGAGCAUGUGGUUUAAUUCGAAGCAACGCGAAGAACCUUACCAGAUCUUGACAUCCAAUUGACCAUCUUUUAAUCGAGAUUUUGCCUUCGGGUACAAUUGAGACAGGUGGUGCAUGGUUGUCGUCAGCUCGUGUCGUGAGAUGUUGGGUUAAGUCCCGCAACGAGCGCAACCCUUGUGUUUAGUGCAAACAGGUCAAGCUGUGCACUCUAGACAGACUGCCGUGGACAACCGGAGGAAGGUGGGGACGACGUCAAGUCAUCAUGGCCCUUAUGUCCUGGGCCACACACGUGCUACAAUGGCCGGUACAGAGCGCAGCGAGGCCGCGAGGCGGAGCGAAUCGCUUAAAGCCGGUCCCAGUACGGAUUGGAGUCUGCAACCCGACUCCAUGAAGUUGGAAUCGCUAGUAAUCGCGCAUCAGCAUGGCGCGGUGAAUACGUUCCCGGGCCUU